GCUUGAACCUGUGCCUUCUCAGUGAUCUGAGCUACUGCAGUGAGAUUCUUAACCCUCUGUUGUCACAGCAGGAACUCCAGCAUUCUAAAUUCUUAAUAGUAUGCAUACAUGGUGCAUUUAUAUAUUUUUGAAAUUAUUUUUAUUUCAUUUUAUUGGAGUAUAGUUAACAUCAAUGUCAUAUUAGUUUUAGACAUAAUGGUGCAUUUAUACUUGAUGGUGUCUUAUUAGAUUUGAUGAACUACAGUGGGAAUUAUUAUCAUCCCCAUUUGUGAAAUGAGUAAAUUGAAUCACACUUAACAGAUAAAGACACUUGGGUUAAAUAACUUGCCCAGAUCACAGAGCAAGCAAGUGGCAGAGCCUGGGUUUGAAACAAGACGAAGGAGUUUGCCAUAUGAUAAGGGAGAAAGUCAAAUGCACAAGCAUUCAGAAGAGACUUAGGUUGCUUUUGGUUGGAGCAGCUGUUCUUAACUCUGGCUACAUAAUGGAAUCCACAGACCAGCUUAGGUCAGAAGCAGAGCUGACGUCCUCCUGGUGAAGUGACUGGGAGAGUCUUACGGAGAAAGAGGUAUUGUGUUCGAUCUUGAAGGGUGGCUGGGAUUUUGGAAAGAAGUAGAGGCCUGGGUGUGAGAAAGGUGUGCCCUGCUGGGAGAGUGCUGUGCACAGGGCCAGGGGAAGGCGCUGGCUCCCGCCUGGCUGGUUCCCAUGUGUGCUUGGUCUCUGGCCCACAGACCGUGUUCAGUAACUCUUGCCGAUGGACUGGGUGAAGCCGUGGCAUGCGGAGGAGGACGAGGCUGGAAGAACCUCCUAUCCACCUUAUACUGAGGCUGAACGUGACAGAGCUCUGCAGGAGUGAGGGUGUUACCUGGUGCCUCUAGAGGCUUCUCCGGCAUCCGGGCCUGGCAUCCAGCAACAUGCCCGGCCUUGUAAAAACAUACAAGCUCUGCAAACAUCAAGCUGCAGAAGAGAAACUCUGUGAGUCUCCCUGCAGACUUGGGAAGGGCCAACAUCAGCUUUCUUGGAGGGCUGAGAGCAGGGGCUGGGGCAUCAGGCGCUGGCGCCUCCACCUGCUAACGGGGCCCCGUGGACACAGUACAUCUCCCUCUAAAAAUGGCCAGAUGACUGCCUACUGCGUGAGGUUGUUGUGAGGAGUAAAUGAGGAGGUGGUUCCCUCGUGCCUCCCACGGCGCCUGGAACAUGGCAGGUGCUCAAGAAGCGUGAGCUUAACUGGGAAACAGCCGGGGCGAGGCCCGCCCUUCCGUCACAGCUGAAGAGCCUCAGGUGAAGCAGGGAAGGCGGGGAGCACCAGUAGGGAUUUCGGCGGCAAGGAAAAGCCCCAGGACACACACCCAAGACAAGGCCACCUGUUGUCCCUUCACCUCGCCAGGCCUCCGGGUCCUCAGCAGUCCCCGGUGAAAUGACAUUGUUUGGAGAGAUGAUCCAGGGAGAAAGGUCUGAGGACAGUAUGGGGCCUCCAACAAGAGAUCACACAGAGGAGGGAAUUCAGCAAAGGACCCAGACAGCAGCCAGUGAAGAUCAAGGAGAGCGUGAUGUCUCAGAAGCCAAGAGAAAAGACAAUUUCAGGGGUUCAUGUAAUCACAGGAGAUGCAGAUAACAACAUGCCGAAGGCCACACAUGCAUGGUUAUGAGUGAUGCUUGCCUUGGAUAUUGUGAAACGGAGGAACGAAUAAACGGAUGCAUUUACAUCCAAACAAACUUGAUUUCAACCCCUUAGGAAUAUGUCACAUAGCAUAAACGGGAGAAAUAAUCAUUGCCCAGGAUUUCGGUUUAGUGUAAGCAAUCAAUAUGAAUAAUUUAGACCACAGAGUGGAUUUUCACUUAGCUUGAGCUAUUCAGAUUGACUUUCAAUUCAGCCUUGACUACCACCGAACAAUCAACAGCAAAUCUUCUCACUGGGUUUGUGUCCUAUGGACACACAUGUGUGUCUACACAGCUGCGAAUUACCUCACUCUGGACAUGGGGCCCUGUUCAAGCCAAAUGUCAGGAGAAAUAUUCCAUCUUGUCAUGACAUUUCAUAUAACAUUGAGUGCACAUGGCCACGAGUGAACUUUUCUUCUGUCUCCCUCUGGCUGAAGGCCCAUUUCUGCCCUUUCCUCUCCUCCACGUACACACACGCAUGCACGCAUGCUCACACACACACACACACACACACACACACACACACACACACACACAAAGGCAGAGAGUUCUUGGACCAAAGUUUACCCAAAUGUCUCCUACUUGCUGGGCCCUCCUGUCUCUGACGUUUUGGUACUGACUCUUGCCUUCUCAGCUGUCUACGACUUACCAGAUGCUUCUAGUCUGUCUGACCUCUGAGAUGUGUCUGAUCCUUCAAGUUUUCUCUGGACUUAAUCAACUGUUGGCUCAACCAACAGACCAAUCCUCCUGCUCAGCCCUGUGUGCGGUGUCAGAUACACAGACACACACACCCACUAUAAAUACUUCAGCUUCAAACAAGAAUGUGCUUACCAGUUAGACGAAUGAAACUGGUAGAACAAACACUACAUAACUUGGAUUCUGGAUGCGGCCGAACACAUAAUUAACUGUGACCUGAGACAGGUCUCUUAACACUCUGAGCCACAUGGGACUGGAUCAAAGGACCCCUCCUGGUUCCAAUCAUCGUUAGUGAGGCUAGCCAAGAUGUGAUGCCCAAGAACACUGCAAUCCAACUGCUCCUGUUAGAAUAUGCUUGAACCUUUGCCUUACAGAAUAAGUUCUAACCUUUCAGCAUACAGUACUGGAGCCUGAUAUAUACACUGUAUCAUAUUUAUGGGAAGAAAGAAGGAAGAGUUUUCUUUCAUUCUUUUUUUUUCUUUUUUUUCUUUUUAGGGCCACAUCGUGGCAUA